rnacentral:rRNA from 1 species
CAGCCGCCGCGGUAAUACGGAGGAUCCAAGCGUUAUCCGGAAUCAUUGGGUUUAAAGGGUCCGUAGGCGGUUUGGUAAGUCAGUGGUGAAAGCCCAUCGCUUAACGAUGGAACGGCCAUUGAUACUGCCAGACUUGAAUUACUAGGAAGUAACUAGAAUAUGUAGUGUAGCGGUGAAAUGCUUAGAUAUUACAUGGAAUACCAAUUGCGAAGGCAGGUUACUACUAGUGGAUUGACGCUGAUGGACGAAAGCGUGGGGAGCGAACAGGAUUAGAUACCCUGGUAGUCCACGCCGUAAACGAUGGAUACUAGCUGUUCGGAGUAAUCUGAGUGGCUAAGCGAAAGUGAUAAGUAUCCCACCUGGGGAGUACGUUCGCAAGAAUGAAACUCAAAUGAAUUGACGG